CAUCAUGAACUUUCCAGUGUGCUUCUUAGAACAGAGCACGCAGUUUCUUUGUGGUCCUGGCACGGAUAUUCUUGAGCCAACGCUGGCUUUUGUCCAUGACCAACGUUCUGCUCCAUCCUUAUCUUCCCGACGUAAGCUCAUCCAGCUUCUGCUUCAUCCUUCGUA